rfam:Schistosoma margrebowiei strain Zambia genome assembly, scaffold: SMRZ_contig0009578
ACACAAAUGAGGAGUCGCACAAUAAAACGAAACGGCCGUCCAGUGU